GUGGGGAAUAUUGGACAAUGGGCGAAAGCCUGAUCCAGCAAUGCCGCGUGAGUGAAGAAGGCCUUCGGGUUGUAAACUGCUUUUGUACGGAACGAAACGGUCCUGGUUAAUACCUGGGGCUAAUGACGGUACCGUAAGAAUAAGUACCGGCUAACUACGUGCCAGCAGCCGCGGUAAUACGUAGGGUGCGAGCGUUAAUCGGAAUUACUGGGCGUAAAGCGUGCGCAGGCGGUGCUGUAAGACAGGCGUGAAAUCCCCGGGCUCAACCUGGGAAUUGCGCUUGUGACUGCAGUGCUGGAGUACGGCAGAGGGGGAUGGAAUUCCGCGUGUAGCAGUGAAAUGCGUAGAUAUGCGGAGGAACACCGAUGGCGAAGGCAGUCCCCUGGGCCUGUACUGACGCUCAUGCACGAAAGCGUGGGGAGCAAACAGGAUUAGAUACCCGAGUAGUCC
rnacentral:rRNA from 1 species